AUGAGAGGUGGUCCCAUCAAGAACUACGUGACGCUGGUGAGCCGCCUAAAUGUUUGGCAGGCCCGUGUCUCCAGUAUGCCUAUCGAGUUGCUCACAAAAGGCAGGUUGCUGCUACUUAGCUGCCAUGAUGUACAGGCAGAGAUGGAAUCCAAGCUGAACAGCAUAAGGAAGGACAUUCUUGCACACGUGCAAAAUGAGUGCUGGAACCUCAGUCAACAACUCAUGACAGAGCUCACAGAUUUCAUGCAUAUCUUCCGAACCAUCAACUCAGAUAUUCAUGCCAUCGCACAGUGCACCCAGAAGUUGAAUGAAGCCAAUGAACAGUACGUCGAGCUGGAGGAGCGAAUGGAAUACGUACGGGCACUCCAUGAACUCAUCCGCAACCACUUUAGCCUCUUUAGUGCUGAGAAUGAAGCACUGGACAUCUCGUUCAGCCCAGCUAUGGCCCAGGAGAAGACAGAGGGCUGGCUGACAGAGGCAGCACGGAUGAGCACAACCCUGGAGCUGCACAGCCCCGUGCUGCAGCACUGCAUGCGCAUCCUGGGGGAGUUUCGCAGCUACCUGCCCCUGCUCACUAAGCUGGGCAGCCUCCACCCACAGAGCCUCAACUGCCAGUGUCUCCUGCGUGACCCAGAGAAGAGCUGCCAGCCAGUGUUGGAGACUCUGCGCCAGGCCAUGGAUGGCACUGUGUAUGCCCACAGCACCUUGGAACUGCAGACACUGCAGCCUACAGUCAACUUCCUUGCCACUGUCACAGUGCCAGGAUACUGUGAGCGCCCACUGUGUCCACGCCUCUUUCGACUCUUCACAGUCCUAGCCCUGGAAAGCAUGACCCAGGCCACCCUGCUGGACAGACAUGUGCCUAUCAUUCAGGCUUGGCUUGAGCGUUUCCCUUCUGUGGAACGGGAGCGUGCUCUGGCACGAGGUCUGGUUAGGGCCUCAGUAGAGGCCUGGGAGGCUGUGUGCAAUUGCUUCAUGCCUUCACCCCUCCACCCACACUACCACUUCUCCCUACACUCUGUGAGCCACCUAUUGAGCAGCCUGCAGCUGCUGCCCAACAGAAUAGGCUCCCGAGGUUUUGUGGACUAUCCCAACCACCAGGAGCACUUGCACCGGGUGUCAGGCCUGCGAGGCACUUGUCUGACUGUUAUGAUGGCCACACGCAAUGUGGUGCGUCUUUGGUUGCAUGAGGCACAGAGAACCUUUUGUGACCGGCUGGACAGCCCCAGGGAACGCUCCUACUGUGCCAAGCUGCUCCUAGUAGUAGCUCAGAGUGUCUUCUGCUGUGGGCCAGGGCCCCAGCACCUGGGCAAGGACCAUCAGGAGAGUGAGGAGGAGGAGGAGGAGGAGAGGGUGCCUGAAGUAGAAUCUGAAGGGGAGUUGGCCCAGUGGGAGGACUUCAGCAACAGCAACAGUGAAACAGAGGAGGAAGAGGAACCUUAUGGCCUUCAGGUCGCCAGAGUCUCAAACUCCAGAGAUCCAAGUCUAACACCAUCCACAGGACCAGUACGCAGGGGGAUGAAGGAAAGCAUAAGUCACAAGAUAAGGCAAGAGAAAGGCACAGGGGCAUCCAACUAUAGGCUCCAGGUAAGGAGAUCAUUCAAGACUUGGUGGCAGAAGAAACCCCAGAUGGACCUGAUCUCACCCUUGUUGUUACCAGUGCUACUACUACAUCCCCAGGAAAAGCCCUCAGACCUGGUCUUCAGUCAGGAGCUGAUACUGGGGCCUAACUCUGAGACCCCCAACUUGUACCUGGAACGACAGUGGGAGAAGCUAGAGGAGCAGUUGGCCACCUCAGCUGCUCAACUGAAGUUGAGCCCCCACCUGGCCCGGUGUCAUUCCAUGGCCCAGCACGUGGCCCGCCUGGUCCGGGUGCUGGCCAGGCCCCGGCAGCAUGGCCUGCUGCUCUCGGGGGCUCUGGGUACUGGGCGCCACACUGCCAUCACUCUGGCUUCUAGCAUUUGUCAGGCCCAUUUCUUUCAUCUACCAUCUGGGUCAGAGGAGGCCAUUCUCCAAUGUCUACGAGAUGCCAGCUGGCAUGCUGGCAUGUUAAGCCAGCCAGUGGCUCUGUUGGUACCCAGUGGUGUGGAUCUCACUACACUUCAUCGCCUCCUGGCCCUGGCAACCUCAGGCAGUUUCCCUGGCCAGUACACAGAAGCAGAUUUGGACCGCAUUGGAGAACACCUCCCCAGGGAGAACCUUGGUGUCAAACAGAACAUCAAGAAGGAAAUGGUGUUGCAGAGGUGAGGCCAAGAACCCCAUAUGCGAAUCUGCUCUGCUCUUACGCUGUCUUGGCCAAAAGGCCAAAAGGAAUUCUGUGGGCUGCCAUGAGGGCUGAGAAGAUUGGGGCUAAGUGGUCUGGCUGGGACUGGGGCCAGGAGGGGCAAGCAAAGGUAAAGGGGAGGACAUUAGCUGAGCCCUGGCCCACAGGUUCCACCAGCAAGUGUGCAGCCACCUUCACCUGUUCUUCCUGAUUGGAGAUAAACAGGCCCACAAGCAGCUGCCCUCCACCCUUUUCCUGAGGCUCCUUCAACUGGCCACUGCCAGCAUUGACCGCUAUGAACCCUGGGACCAAGCUGCCCUGGUCAAGGUGGCCCAGCAUCACCUGGAGGGUGCUCAGAGUGUACCCCUUGAUGACGGAUCCAGCAUGCCUUGGAGAAUCUGAGAAUGCUGACUAAGGAGCACGGUACCCAUGCCAAUCUGAUCUUUGACUUGGAACAGCAGCUGAAAGACUCCGGCAAGGCCUUGGAAUAUUCUGAUUUCUGCAGUUACUAAUUUUUUUAGUUACAACAGCAACUUCUUUCUACUCUUUCAGUCUUCUAAUACUUGUAAUUAAGUCUCUGUAUUAAAAGUCCUCUUCUUGAAAUA
rnacentral:sRNA from 1 species